rnacentral:lncRNA from 1 species
AUGGCCGUUCUCAGAUCCCUCAUGAAGCCCAAGAUCAUCAAAAAGAGGACCAAGAAGUUCAUCUAGCACCAGUUAGACAAACAUGUCAAAAUUAAGCGUAACUGACGGGAAACCCAGAGAUAUUGACAACAUGGUUCGUAGAAAGUUCAAGGGCCAGAUCUUGAUGCCCAACACUGGUUAUGGGCGCAACAAAAAAACACAAAGCACAUGCUGCUGAUGGCUUCCGGAAGUUCCUGGUCCACAACGCCAAGGAGCUGGAAGUGCUGCUGAUGUGCAACAAAUCUUACUUUGCUGAGAUCACUCACAAUGUUUCCUUCCAGAACCGCAAAGCCACAUGGAAAGGGCCACCCAGCUGGCCAUCAGAGUCACCAACCACAAUGCCAGGUUGUGCAGCAAAGAAAAUGAA